GACCCCAACCUACAGAGGGGAAAUGCAGGGCCCAGGGCAGGGGUGGGCAAACUACAUCCCAUGGGUCGGAUCCGGCCCGCCAGUCAUUUUAAGCCAGUUCUCGAGCUCCCUCUGGGGAGUGGGGUCUGGGGCUUGUCCCACUCUGGUGCUGUGGCGCUCCAGCUGGGGAGCGGAGU